UGAAGAUGAAGCAACAAAUCCUCAGGCUGAAUGUGAUAUCAAGUUGGUUGUAAGUGGCUGAUUUUUAUUGUUUCAUUUACAGAAUGUACAAGUUGUAUACUAUUGAAUUUUUGUUUAAGAGUGGAACUACUAUUUAGGCUAUUUGAUAACCAAGGAUUUUUUUUUUUUUUUGUGACUCUUCCUCUUAGUCCCAAGUGUUGGGGUCUGAAGCCUUGUCCACAUUUAUAUUUAUGCCAAGGUAUCAUACUGCUGAGUUAUAACGCUAGCUUUGAAUAUUUGUAGGAUAUUGAGGCCAGAGGUUAGACUGGCCUCUUGAGACCUCAAACCAGUGGAUUAACCUACCAGCAUGGUCUUUGCUCCUGCUAUUGGCUUACAAAAUGUGUAUCUCUGCCUGGCUCCAGUCUUAAGAUUUUUUUUUUUAAACUCAGUAUUAUGUUUUGUUUGCAUGUAAGUAUACCAGGUGUAUGCCUGGUGCCUGGAACUGGUAGGUGCAAGGAAUUGAAUCUUAGUCUUAAUUAAGAGAAGAAGCCAGUGGGCUGGUGAGAUGGCUCAGUGGGUAAGAGCACCCGACUGCUCUUCCGUAGGUCCAGAGUUCAAAUCCCAGCAACCACAUGGUGGCUCACAACCAUCCGUAACAAGAUCUGACUCCCUCUUCUGGUGUGUCUGAAGACAGCUACAGUGUACUUACAUAUAAUAAUAAAUAAAUCUUUAAAAAAAACAAAUAAAAAACAUUCAAUUUAAUAUGUAAAUGUUAAUUGUUAAAACUUUAAAAAAAAAAGAGAAGAAGCCAAUGUUGUGGCUUAUUUUGUGCUGUUUAUUCUAUACUGUUUUCUACUUAACUGUGUGAGUGCUUUACCAGCAUGUAUACCUGAUUAAUGGAAGAGGGCACCAGGUCACAUUUACCAUAUGGUUGCUGAAAUUUAAUGCAGUACCCCUGAAAGAACAGCCAUUGGUGUUUAACUGCUGAGGCAUCUUUCUAGCCCUGAAAAGCCAGUAUUUUUAACCACUGAUCUAGCUUCUGAUAAAAUAAUAAAGAACUUUUAGCUAAUCUGGUGUGCUGUCAAAUGAGAAAAUAGUGCUGGUAUAGUAAGGAAUAUAUUUGCACUCACCCAUCAGUGAGUUUAGUUACUAGUUUUUUUGUUUUUUUUUUUUUCUAUUAAAUGCAGGAAGACAGUUGCUUCAUAAUAAGUUCAGAAUUCUCAAGGAAGAGAAACUUGGAACAAGAGAAGAUUAAGAAAGAAUCUACAUUUUCUAAAAAAGCCAAAGAUGCCACACACAGAGAGAAAGGGCACAGAAGAACCUUGAAAGGAAAUGAACAUGUGACUAUUGAAGAAGGUAAAGAACAUAGAUAACAGUGUAUGCCAAGUAGAUCAAGAACUAAUCUGGGGAAGAAGAUAAACUUGCUGGUGGAACGCUAAUAAAUACUUAGUAAAGCUUUUUUCGUUGCUUGAUUUCAGAGUAAGAAAUACUAUAAGGAUUAUUUUACUACUAUAGUAAACAUGAUUGUGAUUCUGGAAGGAAAAUGCUAACAAUCCUAUACAUGUCUAGAUUCAAGACCCCAGCCUCGCCCUUUUGCUCAUCUGCAGAGCAAGGUCAUGAAGAAAGGAGAGUUAGAGUAUCUGGAGGUUCACCACCUCUGUGGUCUGUCGCAGCCACUAUGACUAUGAGGAGGAAGAGAUGAUUUGAAAAUUGGAUUAAACUCCUGGACUCUUAUACU
rnacentral:lncRNA from 1 species